rnacentral:ncRNA from 1 species
AGGGCGUUAUGAUGAUGGCAUUUAUUUGCCAAGUCUAGUCCUAAGGUUAUGUUAGCACCACAGCAUAAC